AUCGAUGAUCUUCAAGCUUGAUUCCUCCUCUUUUUUUCUUGGAAGCCGUGGCACCCUCUUCUUGUGUUCGUUGAAAAUCGAAGGUCGAAGAGGCCACCGAAGUUCAGGUAAGGGUUCAAUCUUUCUUCCUCUCUCUCUUUUCUUUUUUCUCAUGAUUUUAGACUCUUCGCUGGCCGUCGAGAUCGUUAGAAAUUCCAUGAAACAUAAAAUUCCUGUUCGGUCGGAACCUUUUCCUCUCUUUUUCGACAACCAGUAUCGCAGGUUGCGGCAUCUCAUCCC
rnacentral:lncRNA from 1 species